AUGAACGCUGGCGGCGUGCUUAACACAUGCAAGUCGAACGGAGUCAUCAUUUUUGAAGCAAUUAGCUUGCUAAGAGUGGAAAUGUUGAUGACUUAGUGGCGGACGGGUGAGUAGCGCGUGGGUAACCUGCCAUAUACAGGGGGAUAACACUUAGAAAUAGGUGCUAAUACCGCAUAAGCGCACAGUAUUGCAUGAGACAGUGUGAAAAACUACGGUGGUAUAUGAUGGACCCGCGUCUGAUUAGCUGGUUGGUGGGGUAACGGCCCACCAAGGCGACGAUCAGUAGCCGGCCUGAGAGGGUGGACGGCCACAUUGGGACUGAGACACGGCUCAAACUCCUACGAGAGGCAGCAGUGGGGAAUAUUGGACAAUGGGGGAAACCCUGAUCCAGCGACGCCGCGUGAGUGAAGAAGUAUUUCGGUAUGUAAAGCUCUAUCAGCAGGGAAGAAAAAAUGACGGUACCUGACUAAGAAGCCCCGGCUAACUACGUG
rnacentral:rRNA from 1 species